ACCCAGCAGUUCCCUUUCCCAUGGGAUCUGAACACUGGUCUGGGUGGUGGUAAAAGGAGGGACAGUAACACUGAGACUCAUCUCAGUGCUUGCAGCACAUGGGCUAGUUUCAAACGGGU
ensembl:snoRNA small nucleolar RNA SNORA61